GGCUCAGGAUGAACGCUGGCGGCGUGCUUAACACAUGCAAGUCGAACGAAGCAGUUUAUUACGAUCCCUUCGGGGUGACGAUUUACUGACUGAGUGGCGGACGGGUGAGUAACGCGUGGGUAACCUGCCUUGUACAGGGGGACAACAGUUGGAAACGACUGCUAAUACCGCAUAAGCGCACAGCUUCGCAUGAAGCAGUGUGAAAAGUAUUUUCGGUACAAGAUGGACCCGCGUCUGAUUAGCUAGUUGGUGAGGUAACGGCCCACCAAGGCGACGAUCAGUAGCCGACCUGAGAGGGUGACCGGCCACAUUGGGACUGAGACACGGCCCAAACUCCUACGGGAGGCAGCAGUGGGGAAUAUUGCACAAUGGGCGAAAGCCUGAUGCAGCGACGCCGCGUGAGCGAAGAAGUAUUUCGGUAUGUAAAGCUCUAUCAGCAGGGAAGAUAAUGACGGUACCUGACUAAGAAGCACCGGCUAAAUACGUGCCAGCAGCCGCGGUAAUACGUAUGGUGCAAGCGUUAUCCGGAUUUACUGGGUGUAAAGGGAGCGUAGGCGGUUUUACAAGUCUGAUGUGAAAGCCCGGGGCUCAACUCCGGUAUUGCAUUGGAAACUGUAGAACUAGAGUGUCGGAGGGGUAAGUGGAAUUCCUAGUGUAGCGGUGAAAUGCGUAGAUAUUAGGAGGAACACCAGUGGCGAAGGCGGCUUACUGGACG
rnacentral:rRNA from 3 species